rnacentral:rRNA from 1 species
UGGAUCUUAGUGGCGAACGGGUGAGUAACGCGUAGGCAAUCUGCCUUCUAGAUGGGGACAACAUCCCGAAAGGGGUGCUAAUACCGAAUGUUGUACCGUUUCCGCAUGGAGAUGAUACUAAAGGUGGCCUCUGAAUAUGCUACCGCUAGAAGAUGAGCCUGCGUCUGAUUAGCUAGUUGGAGGGGUAACGGCCCACCAAGGCUUCGAUCAGUAGCCGGUCUGAGAGGAUGAACGGCCACACUGGGACUGAGACACGGCCCAGACUCCUACGGGAGGCAGCAGUGGGGAAUCUUCCGCAAUGGACGAAAGUCUGACGGAGCAACGCCGCGUGAGUGAAGAAGGUUUUCGGAUCGUAAAGCUCUUUCGUUAGGGACGAACGUGCUCUUUGUGAAUAAUGAGGAGUAAUGACGGUACCUAAAUAAGAAGCCACGGCUAACUACGUGCCAGCAGCCGCGGUAAUACGUAGGUGGCAAGCGUUGUCCGGAAUUAUUGGGCGUAAAGCGCGCGCAGG